UACGUAGGGUCCGAGCGUUGUCCGGAAUUACUGGGCGUAAAGAGCUCGUAGGUGGUUUUGUCGCGUUUGUUCGUGAAAACUCACAGCUUAACUGUGGGCGUGCGGGCGAUACGGGCAGACUUGAGUACUGCAGGGGAGACUGGAAUUCCUGGUGUAGCGGUGGAAUGCGCAGAUAUCAGGAGGGAACACCGGUGGCGAAGGCGGGGUCUCUGGGGCAGUAACUGACGCUGGAGGAGCGAAAAGCGUGGGGGAGCGAACAGG
rnacentral:rRNA from 1 species